rnacentral:rRNA from 2 species
ACUCUGGUAUUGAUUGGUGCUUGCAUCAUGAUUUACAUUUGAGUGAGUGGCGAACUGGUGAGUAACACGUGGGAAACCUGCCCAGAAGCGGGGGAUAACACCUGGAAACAGAUGCUAAUACCGCAUAACAACUUGGACCGCAUGGUCCGAGUUUGAAAGAUGGCUUCGGCUAUCACUUUUGGAUGGUCCCGCGGCGUAUUAGCUAGAUGGUGGGGUAACGGCUCACCAUGGCAAUGAUACGUAGCCGACCUGAGAGGGUAAUCGGCCACAUUGGGACUGAGACACGGCCCAAACUCCUACGGGAGGCAGCAGUAGGGAAUCUUCCACAAUGGACGAAAGUCUGAUGGAGCAACGCCGCGUGAGUGAAGAAGGGUUUCGGCUCGUAAAACUCUGUUGUUAAAGAAGAACAUAUCUGAGAGUAACUGUUCAGGUAUUGACGGUAUUUAACCAGAAAGCCACGGCUAACUACGUGCCAGCAGCCGCGGUAAUACGUAGGUGGCAAGCGUUGUCCGGAUUUAUUGGGCGUAAAGCGAGCGCAGGCGGUUUUUUAAGUCUGAUGUGAAAGCCUUCGGCUCAACCGAAGAAGUGCAUCGGAAACUGGGAAACUUGAGUGCAGAAGAGGACAGUGGAACUCCAUGUGUAGCGGUGAAAUGCGUAGAUAUAUGGAAGAACACCAGUGGCGAAGGCGGCUGUCUGGUCUGUAACUGACGCUGAGGCUCGAAAGUAUGGGUAGCAAACAGGAUUAGAUACCCUGGUAGUCCAUACCGUAAACGAUGAAUGCUAAGUGUUGGGAGGGUUUCCGCCCUUCAGUGCUGCAGCUAACGCAUUAAGCAUUCCGCCUGG